GCGCGUUAGCUGUGAGGAAACAUUUAUUGUCCUCCAAUUCACCCACUUCACACCAUCUAAUACAUACACAGAUCGAAAAUUUAAAAUAAAACCACUCUACACAGAUCGUAUAAGACGUCACGCACAUAACACCUACAGGACACACACUCACGAAUACACACACGAAAGGGGGAAGGGAAAUAAUAGAUCUGGGAAUAGGGAAAAACAAACAGAAAACAGAGAGGAAAGGGACGAGAGCACAAAAUUUUGGAUGUGAGCCGCGAAGGAAAAACGCAGCUGCACCUUUUUCUUCAAACCUCAAUUAAAGAGCUCUAAAGCUAACCAUGAAAACUUUGGCAUAAAGCCAAUAAAACAUCACCCCAAAGACCAUCUUCUUUCUUCUACUUCUAGCCAUGUAAGAGCUCCAAAAGACCAAAUAUUUUUACCUCAAAAUGCAGCUGAAAAGCUGCUAAAAAAGCAAAAAAAAAAAAAAAAAAAAAAAAAAAAAAAAAAAAAAAAAAAAAAAAAAAAAAAAAAAAAAAAAAAAAAAAAAAAAAAAAAAAAAAUAGCUCUCAAACCCAGGCAAAACUCAGCUGAAAAAUAGCACCAAACAGUCCCAAAAUCAGCUUCAAAAACAGUUCAUAAACCACCCGGAAACACCUCUAUAAGACCACCAAAAUCCCAGCCGAAUACUCCAGCUCAAAUCUGUUCCAAAAUACUUCAUAAACAUCACAAAAACCAACCAGAACUGACGCUAAAGAGUCUUGAAAUCAGCUGUAAAACACCUAUCCAUUCCGGCCAAAAACAGCCGAGUGACCAAAUUUCGUCAAAGAUCCGGCGAGGCUUUUAUGUCAAGGUUCUAAUUUGUAGCUUCAGUUUUCAGCCUGACGGUCUUUUCUCUGUUUAGUCCGAUUGAUUUGCAAAUUUUUGACUUUGUUCAUCAAUAAAAGGUACGCGUGGCCCACUUUUUGUGUUAGAGGUCAUACCAAAUGAAACGAGGGUGGAUCAGCAACUAGGCCAGGUAGACUUUCGUACUCCCGGUACAUUGCCCCCACCUCGGCUCGAGCUGUCCGUUUGGGAUCCCGGAUGCCGAUGUUACUGCAUUCGAUGGUUGCUGGAUUUGGAGGCGUACCUACGUUCCUGCUGUAGCUGCCUCUUGUUCAUGCUAGCCUUAGAUUGCAAAAUUCUAUUUAUGUACUUUUCAAACAGAGGAUGUAUUUUCUUCAUAUAAGCUUUGUAAAUUCUAUUCUUAGAAGCUCAUGAUUUGUACUACCAGACCUUGGGAGGUGUACUAGAUCCAGAUAAUUUAUUUUGUUUAA